rnacentral:rRNA from 1 species
CGCGUAGGCGGUAUUUUAAGUGAGGCGUGAAAGCCCCGGGCUUAACCCGGGAGGUGCGUUUCAUACUGGAAUGCUAGAGUGCGAGAGAGGAAAGUGGAAUUCCUAGUGUAGAGGUGAAAUUCGUAGAUAUUAGGAAGAACACCAGAGGCAAAGGCGGCUUUCUGGCUCGCAACUGACGCUGAGGCGCGAAAGCGUGGGGAGCAAACA